UCAACCCUACGGGGCGCAGCAGUGGGGGAUAUUGCACAAUGGGGGAAACCCUGAUGCAGCGACGCCGCGUGGGCGAAGAAGUAUUUCGUUAUGUAAAGCUCUAUCAGCAGGGAAGAAAAUGACGGUACCUGAGUAAGAAGCCCCGGCUAACUACGUGCCAGCGGCCGCGGUAAUACGUAGGGGGCAAGCGUUAUCCGGAUUUACUGGGUGUAAAGGGAGCGUAGACGGCAGUGCAAGUCUGGAGUGAAAGGCGGGGGCUCAACCCCCGGACUGCUCUGGAAACUGUACGGCUGGAGUGCAGGAGG
rnacentral:rRNA from 1 species